UAAACUUAGACUUGAGUAGGUCGAGCGGUUGAUUAAUAUGGAUUGGAACUCGGCUGCUCAAGGCCGCGUGAAUAAACAGGAGCGCGCAGCGGCUGCGCUCACCGCUCCCUGAACUUCUCUGGGGCGCCGGGAGCCGGAACUGCGAAGCAGCUGGUUCCAGAUGCGGGCGGGACUGCGGGUCCGCCUAAACCAGCGCGGUCUCUGUGCGCCCCCCGACCCGCGCACACACACCCUAGCCUGGAUGCCCUAGCGUACCGCAGGCGGCACGGAUCUGCGCGCACUCAACUCUCUGGGGUCUUUGGACACCGUUUCUUUGCUUUCUAGAAGCUGCCUCCACUCUAGGAUAUAGAUUCAGAUUUUGGGAACCUGGGGUGCGGGAGGUUGGGGGUGGGGGAGAUUCUCCCCAUUCCCCAAGUGUUGGGCAAGGGUUACCCAACUUGAAUCACUGCGCAAAACAAAGGCGACCCUAAAUGUAUCCACGGAUGCGCGGGGUGGAGAUCCUGGCCCCGCAGCGAGAAAGAAUGUGUUGAGCCGCGGAUUCCGGGGAGGACACCGCGCUCACAGAAGGCGCUUGUUUCUGAAGUCUGCGGGCCUACAGGCGGCUGCGGGGAUCAUCACCUACCCACUACACGUCCAAAGACUUCACCAUCUCCCGCUUGGAAAAGUCGCCCUUGCGACUUGUCUCCCUGAAGCCACCGUGUCUUCGUCUUUGGAACCUACGAGAAGUGUCAAAGCUAAGUGUACGUGUAGGCCUCGGCAGCUUCACCACCCGCCCCCGCCCAUGGCCUCCAGGUCUCUGUUUCUCCGCUCUCAUCUGCACACACUGAGUGACCUGUCUGGACCGGGGCGGAAUCGGGUGCCCGCCAACCCCAGCGCAGCUCAGAGUCUCAGCGAGGAGGCGAAGGCUUGGCGGGAUGAGGCUUCCGUGGGCCUUAACGCCUUCCUCAAGCCUGCAUACUCCUGCUGCUGCAAAACCAACAAGGCCCCACGUCCCACCCUGGGCUGCCACCUCCGCCCACACCACGAGUCUAAGUAGUCGGCUUCUCAGCAUCCCCAGGACUGCGCGCUCCGGGCGGUGCGGGGCGCAGUGCAGCGCUGGGAAGGUGGGAAGCGCUUCGGAAAAGACACUCAUCGUGCCAGUCAUUAGGUUGGUGGGAUGAGCUCCCAAGAGAGCUACUUGGAGCUUACCGCCACUCCCCUGUCCCUAGCAUUUGUCCGAGGUCACCCAAAGGCGGCCCUUGAGAUAAGGAGCGGGGUUUGUCUGCUAAAGUGUUGGGGACAAGACCAAGCCUGAGACCCAACCCAGAUCCCAAGGCCCAAGGCUUUUCUUAAAAACUGUUCCCUGGAAAAUGGUGUGGGCUUGGGACAUCUAUUGACCCACGCGCCCCAGCCCAGGUCCUGGGCUGCCUUCCCGCACCCAGAUCACAUUUAUUGGACAUAAAGUCCGCCCUAGUCCGUGGCUGGGAGCUUUUCUCUUUGCAGGAAGAACAGAGGUUGACAAUUCUAGAACAGCAGGGCAAGCCUCGGAGGACGUUUGGGUCUACUGGCGAAAGAGAAGAGAAAGACCUUUCUGCUGGGAAAAUGCUGUCUCAUAAGAAGGCUGAAAAUCCAUCCUAUCAUGACUGCAGACAGACAGGUCGGGGGACACUCUCUUGUUCUAAGGGAAGCAAGCUGCUCCAUGGAAAGGCCCACAGGGCAAGAGCUGAUGUAUCUGGCCAAAGGACAGCAAAGACUCAAGGCCUGUCAGCAGCUAAGUGAAAAAUCACCCAAUCAAACCUUGAGAUGACUACAGACCCAGGUGGCACCUUGAUUGCAGCUUUGGAAGAGACCCUGAGCUAGAGGAU
rnacentral:lncRNA from 1 species